rnacentral:lncRNA from 1 species
GCGCGGCGCGGGGCCGGGGUGCCGGGGUCCCGGGGUGCCUCCCCGCGCCGCUCCGCGCGGCCCCCGGAGGCGGAUCUUUGUCGGCGGUGCGGCUUGCUUUGUGGCUUCCAAACUUGCCCCUUGCCGGGCCGCUGUGCGGAGGCCGCGCCGGCGCGGAGGACGAAAGUUGGGAGGCGCGAGCAUCCUACCCCUGCCCCGGCCCGACCCGCGGUCCCUGCGGGCUGGGCCUCGAGCAGCGGGGACCAGCGGCUCCGGCAGGGAACUUGACGGCGAGCCCUGCUGUGAUUUGCUCGGGCCUCCACCUGAUUGAUGGGCGUCAAGCCAGUGGGGUCCCCGCCUCCCGCUGCUCCCCAGAUGGCCUUUUGUCUCUGCGCGUGGAAGAGGAGAGAGUUGAUGCAGAUCCGCCCCAGCAUACCUGCAUUCCUCACCCCCAGCUGUGCUGUCCAUGGAGAAGGUACUGUGGGAGGCCAUCCAUCUGGCCUCCAUCCACGACCACUGCAGCUUCCCCACUGCUCUCUGACUCUCAGUGUUUCUGGCUUUAUGAUUCAGGGUUACUACUUGGCUUUGUGUCUCUCAGUCUCGUACCUAAAAUGCAGAUCAUUCCAGAAGCUGGAAAACUAAGAAGAGAUUUAUAAAAGGGUUGGCGCAGCCCAUGACACAUGGAUUGUGCUCAACAGACCAUCACCACCCUCUUCAUCGUCACGGCCACCUCCUGCUGGACAGGACUUCGUUGUGUUCUUUUAUGUUUUGUUUUGUUUUUUUGGUACCGGGAAUCGAACUCAUGACCUCAGGCUUGCCAGGCAAGUGCUUAUGCUGCUGAGCUACAUCCCCGGCUUUGUUGUGUUCUUGAGGUCUAAGUAACUAACGGGUGGGGUUUUCCUCAGUCCUGGGACCUUCUGUGUCCCCAUCUCUUCCCUGUCCCCUCCUCCCAUGCAUCCACACACUCAUUUUGUGGCAAACAUGAGCCACUUGGAAUGGAAAACUCUCUUGGGAGCACCCAGUGAGACUCUGGUGUGGUGGCCAAGCACUGCAGCGAGCCGAGGGGCAGGGUCUCACCUGAUGCUCAUUCAGGAAGGAUGCUCGACCGCCUAGGCCCCUGUGGAGGACAGUGAGGUGGCGCUGUGUUUAGUACGGACAAAGUGGUUACAUUUUGAACUGAAAAAGAAUUCCUCUCUCCCCUCCCCAGCUUCUCUGAGUCUCCACCCUAUGUUGAACAGGUUGUGAUUUUAAGAACAUCCACCCACAAUCUGUUUCCUGUUCCUAUGCUCACAGCCAUGCAUUUAAGAGGGCUUGGCUGGCAAUGCUGUGUGUGGAACAGGCCCCGCAGAGGAACAAGCCUGACAGCAGUGCAUCAGUGACCACCCAAACUUUCAGAGGAGAGAAAGAGGACCAGGGCCAGAGUCAGUUUUCCAGCUGCCACCCCCACCCCCGCCUGUACCCCACGUGGAUAGUUUAUCUGAUAGAAGCCUCAGUUCACACCCCGCCUUCCUCUUUCUCCCCCUCUGCCCCCAAUAAAGAAACACAGAGAUUAAAUCUUGUUGCACAAUGUUUCAUUGCAGUACUGUUUACCACAUAACAGGGUCUGCAGUGAAUGAAAUUCACAUGCUAUUGAUCCACACUAGAUCAAUAUGAAGGAAUGCGACCCAGGCAUCCCCUCAGUAUAAGUUUGUGGUAUAAUUUGAGCGGGCACAGGCUUAGUUUGGGAUGGAAGGGUGGGAAGCCCAUGCUGGGUUUACCUUACUGGGGGAAACCAGCAAAACCCUGGAACCCUAUUCAGAGUGAGGAAUAGAUUCCUGUACCCCCAGGGCCUCUGACGGUAACCAGAGAGAGUCAGCUCCUUUUUUGGAAGGGAAACCUCCCUGUUGGGGUCCGGGGCCCAAUGGUAAGAGAGAAAAGGCUGCCAAUGAGGAGAGGAGGAGGUUAUGAAUGAGAGUUCCGAGGUGCAGAUUCUCCUUGGCCUGGUUAGAUCCUGCAGUUGUGGGCUGCAGGACGCUGAGGAGGGCCCAGAAAUGUACAUGAAGUGGAAGCUGGGCAGCACGCAUAUGCACAGCCUUGACUGCGCACAGGUGACAGUUUAAACCCGUGUGGCAGGAAGAUUUGAGAAAAACACUCCUCACUGGGGCCAACCCCAGUGUUCCCCCAGUUAAGCCUAACAAAUGGAGGGCACAUAUACACACAGCGGCACAGGGCCGCUACACACCCACACAUACCCCACACAGUUUGCCUUCAUAACAGUGGUAAAUAGGGAACAGUGUAUAAUCCCAUUGUAAAGAGGAAACCAGGCUCAGAGAGGUCAGCACUGCUGAGGGUCACAGCGGGAAGGCAGUGGAGCCAGGGUGCAAACUCAAACUGGCUUAGUUCCAGAGCUCCCCAAAGUGUGUGUAAAGCUACCGAAGACUCAGCCCACACCGGCUGGAAGGGGGUGUGGGGAGAAGGACUAUUUUACAACACACUUUGGGUGAGUGUGGUUGUGCACACCUGUAAUCCCAGCUACUCAGGAGGUUGAAACAGGACUGAAAGUUCAAGGCCAGUCUGGGCAACUUAAGAAAGGCCCUGUCUCAAAAUAAAAAAUGGCUGAGGGUGUAGCUCGGGUAGAACACCUGCCUAGUGCGAUGAGGCCCUGGGUUCAAUUCCCAGUACCAUCAAAAACAAGAAUUUGUGCUUGGGACUGGGACAGUCUCAUUGCUUUUCCAUUGCAGGGGUAUAGGGGUGUGCGCUGCUGUGUGUGUGUAUGUAUGUGUGAGAGAGAAUUUAGUCAAAACGGGAAAGAAUUCCCUACCCACCCAUCCAAAGUAGACCAUUCUAGAACUGCUCUGAGAGCCUGAGACAGAGAACACUCCCAGAAGCAAUGCACUCUCUCCUCCUGAGCCCGGGAAAAAGAGCCCUGGUGGGAUGUAAGCUACAAAGUUGGAGCCUGAGGAGGACCCGAGGGCUACUUGCAGGAUGUGGCACAACUUUGCCAGCCAGUGGAGGCCGGGGGUAGAGGGAGCUGGCAUCCAGAGGGUGGAGAAUGGCCAUGUUGCUGUUUUUAUACAAUAAAAGAGGAUCAUUGUAAUUAGGAGCCUUUGAAUCAACACAUCUGCCCGUG